UUCCUUCCUUCCUGAGCGAGGGGCGGGGCUGUUUAAGCUUUUGGCUGCUUUUAAUCUAAUCAAGGGGCUGCGCCUUCCAGGCAAGUCUUUUGUGUUUGUUGUUUUCCCACCUAGAACAGCCUGCUCCACGAGCUAGAGGGAGCCCCAGCUGACGAAGCGUCAAGGCCCCAGCUGACAAAGCGUCAAGGCGAGUUAAGCAGCAGAGACAAAAGAGGGAGGACUAGAGACUUUCAAUUCUGGACUACCUUCAUAGGUGCCAUGGCUCGAAAACACCAUGCAUGCCAACCUUGAGUCCUAUGAUGGAAGAAUGGCAGAAUAGAAAAAUACUAAAGAAAUCAAUGAUUGCCUGGUUCACACAUUAUGUUUCUCCACCUGAGUGCAUAUCCAGGAGCAUUUGGAUCGGAACUUCUGACAUUGAUAAAGUAUUGUGUAAACUGGCACUAACUUAACCCCUUAAACAGGAUUCCAUUAUAUCAGUUACAGCUACAUCACAAAAGCACAAAGAGCAGUAAACAGAGUCCAGGGGACUAAUUUCUCCUUACACAAGGAAAGGGAUGAUUUAUCUGACCUUUGCUUCAAGCCUCUGAUCUUUUUGUGGAGCCUGUGAAAUGAAGAAGGGACCUUGGCUACCGUUCUGGUGAAGAAAAAGAUCUUGUAUUGAGUGACAGCUUCAUUAAGCAAGUUAAAGGCGCAGAAGUAGAGGUGAAGAGGGUGUAAUGGCUGAAGCAGAGACUCUCUCUUUCUGCAGAGACUGAGCUUGCUGCCCAUAGACCAUGAUGGAAUUGUCCCCUCCAUCAACUGCUCUCUCUUAUGGGCCGAGCAUAUCAAUGAAGGCAUCUGUCAGUCAGAGUCAGCCUCCAUCAUCCCUAUUUACUUGCAAGGUUUGCACUAUACCUGAGUUGGCAGUAAGAUGUUACAGAAAGCUUGAAUAGAUAUUUUCAGUCUUUGUAUGGCAACAAAUAAACAAUAUUUGUUAUUA